UGGGGAAUAUUGGACAAUGGGCGCAAGCCUGAUCCAGCAAUGCCGCGUGGGUGAAGACGGCCUGCGGGUUGUAAAGCCCUUUAGGUGGGGAAGAACGAUGCCGGGUGAAUAGCCGGGUGUUAUGACAUUACCCACGGAAUAAGCACCGGCUAACUCCGUGCCAGCAGCCGCGGUAAUACGGAGGGUGCGAGCGUUAAUCGGAAUGACUGGGCGUAAAGCGUGCGUAGGUGGUGGUGUUAGUCAGCCGUGA
rnacentral:rRNA from 1 species